AGUGAACGCUGGCGGUAGGCCUAACACAUGCAAGUCGAACGGCAGCACAGGAGAGCUUGCUCUCUGGGUGGCGAGUGGCGGACGGGUGAGGAAUACAUCGGAAUCUACUCUGUCGUGGGGGAUAACGUAGGGAAACUUACGCUACUACCGCAUACGACCUACGGGUGAAAGCAGGGGACCUUCGGGCCUUGCGCGAUUGAAUGAGCCGAUGUCGGAUUAGCUAGUUGGCGGGGUAAAGGCCCACCAAGGCGACGAUCCGUAGCUGGUCUGAGAGGAUGAUCAGCCACACUGGAACUGAGACACGGUCCAGACUCCACGGGAGGCAGCAGUGGGGAAUAUUGGACAAUGGGCGCAAGCCUGAUCCAGCCAUACCGCGUGGGUGAAGAAGGCCUUCGGGUUGUAAAGCCCUUUUGUUGGGAAAGAAAUCCAGCUGGCUAAUACCCGGUUGGGAUGACGGUACCCAAAGAAUAAGCACCGGCUAACUUCGUGCCAGCCGCCGCAGUAA
rnacentral:rRNA from 1 species